rnacentral:rRNA from 1 species
UAAGGAAUAUUGCGCAAUGGGCGACAGCCUGACGCAGCGACGCCGCGUGGGGGAUGAAGGUCUUCGGAUUGUAAACCCCUUUCGGCAGGGAAGAUGGAACGGGUAACCGUUCGGACGGUACCUGCAGAAGCAGCCACGGCUAACUUCGUGCCAGCAGCCGCGGUAAUACGAAGGUGGCAAGCGUUGUUCGGAUUUACUGGGCGUACAGGGAGCGUAGGCGGUUGGGUAAGCCCUCCGUGAAAUCUCCGGGCCUAACCCGGAAAGUGCGGAGGGGACUGCUCGGCUAGAGGAUGGGAGAGGAGCGCGGAAUUCCCGGUGUAGCGGUGAAAUGCGUAGAGAUCGGGAGGAAGGCCGGUGGCGAAGGCGGCGCUCUGGAACAUUUCUGACGCUGAGGCUCGAAAGCGUGGGGAGCAAACAGGAUUAGAUACCCGCGUAGUCCCUGAGCGGGCUGGCAAGGCGCAU